CCCGCAGGGAGCGGUGGCAGUCGACCGGAGCAGCACGCCACCGCCGCGCGCUCUGGACUGUCGCCAGCCGAGCACGCGGCCGCCUGCCACUGACCGCCGCAUCUCCUGCGUCACUAGUGUGCCAGUGAACGGCGCCAGUUGUGUUACCAGCUGACUGGCGUCAUAAUUUGUGGAUUCUGCUCAAAGCGAAGAGCAUUGUUGUGUGAAAUUUCCGUUUUUGAAAACUUCAAGUGGACGAGAUUGUGGUGGAUUCAUUUCAGCCAAAAAGCUUCACCGUCAGACAAGUGUUUCUUUCCCCGUCGUGGACGUCACUGGAGUAUCCCGAACUCGUCGACUAGUACUCCUUAAGCAGUUAUUCGAGGUUAAACAGCGCUAGUCCUUCCCUGAAGAACGACACGUUGUACAGCAGCGGGUGACAAAUUGCCUCGUCUAUAGGAGUUUCUUCCGAUGAGCUGCGUUUCAGAAGGAAAGAUCCCCUGAAGCGUAGCUCACUACUGGACCAACUGGGAUAGCGCGGCAUGAGCGAGGGCGGGCAGCCGCCGCCAUGAGGCGCCACGACUCGGCCACCGCCCCCGCACCGCCACCCGCACCCCAGCUGUACUACCCGGCGCAGCAGCACAUGGUGGUGUCCGGAGAGAAGAGCGGCCGCAGCGGCCGGUGGUGGGGCGCCGGGGGCCGCAGCCCGUCGCUGGCGGGGCCCGG